CAUGAUGGAAUGUUGGACAGUUGGCCCUGUCUUCCAAAUUUCCAAAUUGGUCUAUCUUUCUGCUGACUGUUCUGUUGGCUUUCCAGCUAAGCUCUCCUUUACUUUUCUUUCUUUUUGUUCUUUCUAAAUUCUCUCAUUACAUUUCUUCCUUGUUUCAACACUGUUAAUGGAGGUGAAACCCUGAAAGAGGGCAUCAUUGUAAUUUCAGGAUCCUCCUUCCAUAGACAAAAUUGCUUUCUUCCUGUUCCUCUACAUUAUAAAAGGGGAAAUGAAAUCCAUUCCACCAUCAUAACCCUGCUGCCUGAAACAGGGGAAAUCAAGGUUUGUUUGAGGGCAACCCAUUUCUUCUUCUGCGGUUGGAAACUGGAAUCCAACAUCAUGAGCUUUAAAAACUAUUAUUCCUUCUGGGUUUCACUUGGUUUUGUUGGGGAAAAAAUCAACCUUGAAGCUCAGAAUUGAUAUUAUAGUUCAGCUUAAAUUCUUUGAAGGGAUGCAAUAAGUACUUAUUUUUCUUAUUUGAUUCUGUUGUAUGAUUUUGAAAACUGGCUCCUUUUUCAUCAUCAGAUGUACUGUCUUUAUGGUUUUUAUCUCCUUCAGAUGAGUGUCAACUAAAUUUACAUUUUGGAUUUGAAAUUCUCUUCGUGGGUACUUGGGAUAAAAAAAAAAAAACCAAUAGUUGAAGUCAUACUUCACACAUAGUAUGAUUGGAACUGUGAAAUGAGCUAGUUGCAGGGCAACAAUGGUAAGUUGUUAGUCUAUCUCCAUCAGGCACAAUUUUUGAUGAGGCUUUUGUUUUGCAAGAUUCAUUGUCCUCCCUUCAUUUGCUUUUGUAAACCUUCCCCUCAUAUAUACACUCCUGGACCACUGAAAUUAGAGGAUAUCCCACAUCCGCCCUUGCCUUCAAAACUUCUGUCAUUUCCUGAAACAUCUGAUCAGUUAUCUGAUGACACCAAUGAGAUCAAGGAGGAGAACUUAGAUGGGAUUCCAAAACCAGCUGAGCCUUGUCUCAAAAGUAGUCUCAGAAAGCGCAUUUCGGACUCCAGUGCUCCAAAACAGGAGCUCAAGAAGAGAGUACAAUGGAUGGACUUUUUCGGGAAAGAACUUGUUGAGAUCAGGGAAUUUGAAUGCAGUGAACUAGAAGAUACUGACAAUGAAGACAACAAAAGAGGCUGCAUUUGUGUUAUUUUAUGACCCUCUUAAUCAGCUUCCACUCUGCAAAUUCCUAAAGCAACUGCAUGAACUACAAGAGAAAGAAGGAGAAACAUAUAUCCACCCAAUGAGUCUAAAAUUUGAACAGAGCCACAGUGAUUGAAAUUCAGUUUUAGUCAAUUUCGCCUUACCAGCUCUCACAAGAGACUGUUUUAUGAGAAUUCAAUAGAGUCGAUAUUCACUCUUGCUUUAGAAGAAUGUUAAGCUGUGUAUUUUAUCUUACACAACAACAUUGUGUUCCUCUGGUUAUGAAAUUUCACACAUGUUCUGAAACUUUAUCAAGUUGUUGUUUU